rnacentral:rRNA from 1 species
ACGGGAGGCAGCAGUGAGGAAUAUUGGUCAAUGGUCGGAAGACUGAACCAGCCAAGUAGCGUGAAGGAUGACUGCCCUAUGGGUUGUAAACUUCUUUUAUGCGGGAGUAAAGUACGUCACGUGUGAUGUUUUGCAUGUACCGCAUGAAUAAGGAUCGGCUAAUUCCGUGCCAGCAGCCGCGGUAAUACGGAAGAUCCGAGCGUUAUCCGGAUUUAUUGGGUUUAAAGGGAGCGUAGGCGGGCGUUUAAGUCAGUGGUCAAAGCGUGUGGCUCAACCAUACCACGCCAUUGAUACUGGAUGCCUUGAGUGCACAUAAGGAUGGUGGAAUUCAUGGUGUAGCGGUGAAAUGCUUAGAUAUCAUGAAGAACUCCGAUUGCGAAGGCAGCUGUCCGGGGUGUAACUGACGCUAAUGCUCGAAAGUGCGGGUAUCAAACAGGAUUAGAUACCCUGGUA